rnacentral:rRNA from 1 species
GACGAACGCUGGCGGCGUGCCUAAUACAUGCAAGUCGAACGCUUCUUUCCUCCCGAGUGCUUGCACUCAAUUGGAAAGAGGAGUGGCGGACGGGUGAGUAACACGUGGGUAACCUACCCAUCAGAGGGGGAUAACACUUGGAAACAGGUGCUAAUACCGCAUAACAGUUUAUGCCGCAUGGCAUAAGAGUGAAAGGCGCUUUCGGGUGUCGCUGAUGGAUGGGCCCGCGGUGCAUUAGCUAGUUGGUGAGGUAACGGCUCACCAAGGCCACGAUGCAUAGCCGACCUGAGAGGGUGAUCGGCCACACUGGGACUGAGACACGGCCCAGACUCCUACGGGAGGCAGCAGUAGGGAAUCUUCGGCAAUGGACGAAAGUCUGACCGAGCAACGCCGCGUGAGUGAAGAAGGUUUUCGGAUCGUAAAACUCUGUUGCUAGAGAAGAACAAGGACGUUAGUAACUGAACGUCCCCUGACGGUAUCUAACCAGAAAGCCACGGCUAACUACGUG